CCAAUAGCGUAUAUUAAAGUUGUUGCAGUUAAAAAGCUCGUAGUUGAAUUUCGGGAUUAGUACGUUGGUCGUGCCUUGGUACGUACUGGUGUAACUGAUUCCUCCCUUCUGACGAACCGUUAUGCCAUUAAUUUGGUGUGGCGGGAAAUCAGGACUGUUACUUUGAAAAAAUUAGAGUGUUUAAAGCAGGCUCGCGCUUGAAUACAUUAGCAUGGAAUAAUGAAAUAGGACGUUAAUCCUAUUUUGUUGGUUUCUAGGAUCGACGUAAUGAUUAAUAGGGGUAGUUGGGGGCAUUAGUAUUCAAUUGUCAGAGGUGAAAUUCUUGGAUUUAUUGAAGACUAACUACUGCGAAAGCAUUUGCCAAGGAUGUUUUCAUUAAUCAAGAACGAAAGUUAGGGGAUCGAAGACGAUCAGAUACCGUCGUAGUCUUAACCAUAAACUAUGCCGACUAGGGAUCGGAUGAUGUUAAUUUUUUAAUGACUCAUUCGGCGCCUUACG
rnacentral:misc_RNA from 1 species